UACGAAGGGGGCUAGCGUUGCUCGGAAUUACUGGGCGUAAAGCGCACGUAGGCGGCUCUUUAAGUCAGGGGUGAAAUCCUGGAGCUCAACUCCAGAACUGCCUUUGAUACUGAAGAUCUUGAGUUCGGGAGAGGUGAGUGGAACUGCGAGUGUAGAGGUGAAAUUCGUAGAUAUUCGCAAGAACACCAGUGGCGAAGGCGGCUCACUGGCCCGAUACUGACGCUGAGGCACGAAAGCGUGGGGAGCAAACAAG
rnacentral:rRNA from 1 species